CUAUAAUCCCAAAAAUAACAAUGGUUAUUUGAGAGUAUAGGUUACCUUAUAGGGUUAGGAUCACUGUUCACCCAUUUUGCUUGGUAAAAUUACAUUAACGUUUACUCAGUUUCCCGCACCAGAACUCCUCCAUUGCGGUAAACAAAGUGCAGGAUUACUUCUUAAACCUGACUUAGGCUCAUUUGAAUUCCAUAGCCAAUCACAAUGGCAAUACGGCUGUUACAUACAAUGUCAUUGGCUUUUAGAUGUGAGCUCCUUCCUGGCCAAUGUUUUAAAGUAUUUUUCAAUAUGGCCUCUCUGUGCCUUGCUCAAAGUGACACUAUGAUUCCAGCUUGCUAGGUGCAAUCCUUCUUGUCUCAAAGUUUGUGUAAUCCGUAAUGGUACGAAUACCACAAAACAAAACUGCAAUUACUGGCUAUACUCCCUCUGUUAUGAGGACGUGCCAGUCACAAAAAAUGGAACGUGUUCUAUAUAUAUUUUUCUUUUCUAGUAGUUUUUUCAUAAUGUAUACGUGUUUGGUGCAGUUAAACAUUUUAUGUGGAAUAAAG